UACGGAGGGGGCUAGCGUUGUUCGGAAUUACUGGGCGUAAAGCGCGCGUAGGCGGCUUUGCAAGUUAGAGGUGAAAGCCCGGAGCUUAACUCCGGAACUGCCUUUAAAACUGCAUCGCUAGAAUCGUGGAGAGGUGAGUGGAAUUCCGAGUGUAGAGGUGAAAUUCGUAGAUAUUCGGAAGAACACCAGUGGCGAAGGCGACUCACUGGACACGUAUUGACGCUGAGGUGCGAAGGCGUGGGGAGCGAACGGG
rnacentral:rRNA from 1 species